rnacentral:rRNA from 1 species
CGCGCGCUUGACCGGCACUCGCGCAGAACCCCCGCGCCCCGCGCCCCCUCCACUCUCUCCUCCCAGCUCCCUCAUCUCCAACCCUAAACCUUUCCCCCCACCACUGCAGCCGCCUCCCCGAGCUCCUCGCCCCUUCCACUCCCUCCGCGCCGCCUCUUCCCAUCUCCUGACAAGGCAGCUCCCAAGCAGAGAUCCCGCGGGGCCGAGGCAUGAAGGUGCGGAGGCAAGCUUCUCCGGCGGCGGGGGCGACCGGCGGCGCUCGAUUCGAUCAGAGAAUAUGAGAGGGAGGGAGAGAAGGAAGGAGAGGAGGGAGAAAGAGAGAGGAAAGAGGAGAGGGAGGUGCAGGGGCGGACGGGAGAGGGUCACCAGAAGGAGCGCCCCGGCUCGUCGUCGUUCACACCGCCCUGGAGAAAGAGGAUAGGGAGGUGCGGCAGUGGAUGGGAGAGGGCCAUUGGAAGGAGCGUGGCCGGCGUCGUUCGCACCACGCUGGAGCAGAGAUACCUAUGUACAGCCCUCAUGCCCGCAGAGUACACAAGUGGUUGCCCCUGAGGUCUCCUCCUUGUCCGGAUUGUUCAUUAAGUUUGUGGAUAGAGGAUGUGAUUCCAGCAAGACAGAGACAACGGCAAUGACAAGUGAGAUUUCUGUUAAGGAGUAUCAGUAGAUGUUCACAUGAUCGCUGGAAGCAUAUAAUGGUUGAUGAAACUGAGGUUAUCGGCGUUCUCCUGCAAACUGAAUUAAUUCCUCUGUGCAGGCGUACCAUGGAGAUGGGCAGUGAGCUAUCAGAAAACCCUACUCUGCCACGCAGUGAUCCGGCCAAUUUUUUCCUCAGGUUGUCGUUUGCUCAUUGCUGUCCUGGCUGCGCUUCUUCCUUCUGGUUGCAGCAGCAGAAAUAGAAGAAAUGUACAGCCUGUUUCCCUCACCUGCCGCAUCUUCCACUGACAAUAACUCUACACAACAGCCUGUUGAGGUUUUGAAGGAUUAGUGGACCAGAAUAUUGUUCUGGAAGUUAUCGAUGUUGGGCAUUAUAUGAUUCUACCAGCGGAUUAUUUGGCUCCUGAUCUUAUCCGUUGCAUUGCAACAGAAUGUGGGGUUGAUAUCGAUGAGGACCCGGAAGCAAUGAUUAUUGAUCACAUUAAUUACGACUCCACUUUGGUUGAAGGUGAUCACACCUUGAUUGCUGGCGAUGAUCUGAUUCAGUCAGCUUUGUGGGCGAGAGCAUGCAUCAUGAUGUCACGUUGGUGUUUGCCUACAAGGAAGGAGUUGUUGAGCCGACUUUCCUGUACUUCGGUCAUGAGCUGGAAGUGGUCAAGUGUUAAUUUUUUGCUCUGGUCUAUGGUUGUAAUGUUGGUGUCGUAUUUUUAAACAAAAGCUUAUGUUUUUUUGCUCAAACACAAAGUCACUGAAAAACGCAGAUGUUUUCAAUGUGAACAUGAUUCCAAAUGGGUCUCUGUGAACAUGGUAGCAAGUAUUUUGCGCUAUCAAAUUAAAAUGUGUAUAUACAUCUCAUUGUAGACAACAAUCCACCAUGUUUUCUAUUAAACGGGAAUAAACCAUGGAUUUU